GAAGGGCCCGAGCGUUGCGCGGAAUCACUGGGCUUAAAGCGUGCGCAGGCGGGCGUGCAGGCGUCUUGUGAAAUCCCUCGGCUCAACCGAGGAACUGCUUGACGAACCGCAUGCCUUGAGGCAGGUAGGGGCCGUCGGAACGAUAGGUGGAGUGGUGAAAUGCGUUGAUAUCUAUCGGAACGCCGAAGGAGCAAUCAGGCGGCUGGGCCUGUUCUGACGCUGAGGCACGAAAGCGUGGGGAGCGAACGGGAUUAGAUACCCCGGUAGUCCACGCCGUAAACGAUGUGCACUAGAUCGAGGGGGUUCUGACACCGCUCUUGGUCGAAGCGAGAGUGUUAAGUGCACCGCCUGGGGAGUACGGUCGCAAGGCUA
rnacentral:rRNA from 1 species